GCUGGUUCUCCCCGAAAUAGCUUUAGGGCUAGCCUUGGGACAUUGUUUAGUGGGGGUAAAGCACUGAAUAUGAGCGAGCCGCGCCAAGCGGUAUCAAUCAUAAUCAAACUCUGAAUCCCAUUAGAUGUACCCCAGGAGUCAGACUACGGGAGAUAAGUUCCGUGGUCAAGAGGGCAACAGCCCAGACCGCCGAUUAAGGUCCCUAAAUUCACGCUAAGUGUCAAAGGAUGUAGAGAUACUCAAACAGCUAGGAUGUUGGCUCAGAGGCAGCCAUCAUUUAAAGAAUGCGUAACAGCUCACUAGUCAAGUGUCUCCGCGCCGAAAAUUUACCGGGGCUAAGCGUGAUACCGAAAUCGCGGAUGAAUCCUAAAAAUUCGUGGUAGGGGAGCGUUCUGUUUGCAGUGAAGCCAUAUCGUGAGGAGUGGUGGAGCGUACAGAAGCGAGAAUGCCGGCGUAAGUAACGAUAAAGGGUGAGAAUCCCUUUCACCAAUUGACUAAGGUUUCCUGGGCAAGGUUCGUCCUCCCAGGGUUAGUCGGGACCUAAGGCGAGGCCGACAGGCGUAGUCGAUGGACAGCAGGUUGAUAUUCCUGCACCCGAGCACGCAGUGAUGCAAUGACGAAAACGGCUAUGCUCACCUCCGAUCGGAAGUGGAGGGCAGAGCGUAGGAGUCGAUUCCUUGUUAAGUACGGGAAUCAUUAAGACAAAGACGUGCGGUAUGAAAGUCGCGAGACGAGUAAGAAACAGCAGACGCCGAUUUCCAAGAAAAGUUGCUAACGUUAAACGUGUUCGGCCCGUACCGAGAACGGACACACGUGGUCAAGGAGAAUAUCCUGAGGUGAGCGAGAUAACUGUUGUUAAGGAACUCUGCAAAAUAACUUCGUAAGUUAGCAAGAAGAAGUGCUCCAGCGAUGGAGCCGCAGCGAAUCGGCCCAAGUAACUGUUUACCAAAAACACAGCUCUAUGCUAAGUCGCAAGACGAUGUAUAUGGGGUGACGCCUGCCCGGUGCCGGAAGGUUAAAAGGAGAGGUUAGGAGCAAUCCGAAGCUUUGAAUUGAAGCCCCGGUGAACGGCGGCCGUAACUAUAACGGUCCUAAGGUAGCGAAAUUCCUUGUCAGGUAAGUUCUGACCCGCACGAAUGGCGUAACGAUUUGGGCACUGUCUCAACAGCCCGCCCGGCGAAAUUGUAGUACCGGUGAAGAUGCCGGUUACCCGCGACUAGACGGAAAGACCCCAUGGAGCUUUACUAUAACUUAAUAUUGAGUAAAUGCGAAUCUUGUACAGUAUAGGUGGGAGACUUUGAAGUCGGGGCGUCAGCUUCGAUGGAGUCGCCGUUGGGAUACCACUCUGGAUUUGCAUUUAUUCUAACUCCUACCCUGGAUGGGCGGGAGGACAGUGUUAGGCGGGUAGUUUGGCUGGGGCGGCCGCCUCCCAAAUAGUAACGGAGGCGCCCUAAGGUACCCUCAGUAUGGUCGGAAAUCAUACGUAGAGCGCAAAUGCAUAAGGGUGCUUGACUGCAAGACCGACAAGUCGAGCAGGUACGAAAGUAGGGAUUAGUGACCAGGCGGUUUCAUUGUGGAAUGGCCGUCGCUUAACGGAUAAAAGCUACCCUGGGGAUAACAGGCUGAUCGCGUCCAAGAGUUCACUUCGACGACGCGGUUUGGCACCUCGAUGUCGGCUCAUCACAUCCUGGAGGGGCAGCACCUUCCAAGGGUUAGGCUGUUCGCCUAUUAAAGUGGUACGCGAGCUGGGUUCAAAACGUCGUGAGACAGUUUGGUCCCUAUCUGUCGUGGGCGUAGGAAGUUUGAAAGGAUCUGUCCCUAGUACGAGAGGACCGGGAUGGACAUACCUCUGGUGCACCAGUUGUCACGCCAGUGGCACAGCUGGGUAGCUACGUAUGGAACAGAUAAGCGCUGAAGGCAUCUAAGUGCGAAACUGACCUUAAGAUGAGACUUCCCAUUCGCAAGAAGUAAGAUCCCUUUAAAGUGAAGAGGUAGAUAGGUCAGGGGUGUAAGUGUAGUGAUACACUAAGCUGACUGAUACUAAUCGAUCGAGGAUUUUGUGAA
rnacentral:rRNA from 1 species